rnacentral:rRNA from 1 species
GGAUUAGAUACCCUGGUAGUCCACGCCGUAAACGAUGUCUACUAGCCGUUGGGACUCUUGAAGUCUUAGUGGCGCAGCUAACGCACUAAGUAGACCGCCUGGGGAGUACGGCCGCAAGGUUAAAACUCAAAUGAAUUGACGGGGGCCCGCACAAGCGGUGGAGCAUGUGGUUUAAUUCGAUGCAACGCGAAGAACCUUACCUGGUCUUGACAUCCUCGGAACUUACUAGAGAUAGUUUGUUGCCUUCGUGAACCGAGUGACAGGUGCUGCAUGGCUGUCGUCAGCUCGUGCUG